rnacentral:rRNA from 1 species
GAAUUCGCCCUUAGAGUUUGAUCCUGGCUCAGGACGAACGCUGGCGGCACGCUUAACACAUGCAAGUCGAACGAGAGAAGAGAAGCUUGCUUUUCUGAUCUAGUGGCGGACGGGUGAGUAACACGUGAGCAAUCUGCCUUUCAGAGGGGGAUACCGAUUGGAAACGAUCGUUAAUACCGCAUAAUAUAAUUGAACCGCAUGAUUUGAUUAUCAAAGAUUUAUCGCUGAAAGAUGAGCUCGCGUCUGAUUAGCUAGUUGGUAAGGUAACGGCUUACCAAGGCGACGAUCAGUAGCCGGACUGAGAGGUUGAUCGGCCACAUUGGGACUGAGACACGGCCCAAACUCCUACGGGAGGCAGCAGUGGGGAAUAUUGCACAAUGGAGGAAACUCUGAUGCAGCGAUGCCGCGUGAGGGAAGAAGGUUUUAGGAUUGUAAACCUCUGUCUUCAGGGACGAAAAAAGACGGUACCUGAGGAGGAAGCUCCGGCUAACUACGUGCCAGCAGCCGCGGUAAUACGUAGGGAGCGAGCGUUGUCCGGAAUUACUGGGUGUAAAGGGAGCGUAGGCGGGAUCGCAAGUCAGAUGUGAAAACUAUGGGCUUAACCCAUAAACUGCAUUUGAAACUGUGGUUCUUGAGUGAAGUAGAGGUAAGCGGAAUUCCUAGUGUAGCGGUGAAAUGCGUAGAUAUUAGGAGGAACAUCAGUGGCGAAGGCGGCUUACUGGGCUUUAACUGACGCUGAGGCUCGAAAGCGUGGGGAGCAAACAGGAUUAGAUACCCUGGUAGUCCACGCCGUAAACGAUGAUUACUAGGUGUGGGGGGACUGACCCCUUCCGUGCCGCAGCAAACGCAAUAAGUAAUCCACCUGGGGAGUACGACCGCAAGGUUGAAACUCAAAGGAAUUGACGGGGGCCCGCACAAGCAGUGGAGUAUGUGGAUUAAUUCGAAGCAACGCGAAGAACCUUACCAGGUCUUGACAUCGUAUGCAUAGCUCAGAGAUGAGUGAAAUCUCUUCGGAGACAUAUAGACAGGUGGUGCAUGGUUGUCGUCAGCUCGUGUCGUGAGAUGUUGGGUUAAGUCCCGCAACGAGCGCAACCCUUACUGUUAGUUGCUACGCAAGAGCACUCUAGCAGGACUGCCGUUGACAAAACGGAGGAAGGUGGGGAUGACGUCAAAUCAUCAUGCCCCUUAUGACCUGGGCCUCACACGUACUACAAUGGCUGUUAACAGAGGGAUGCAAAGCCGCGAGGUGGAGCGAACCCCUAAAAGCAGUCUUAGUUCGGAUUGUAGGCUGCAACCCGCCUACAUGAAGUCGGAAUUGCUAGUAAUCGCAGAUCAGCAUGCUGCGGUGAAUACGUUCCCGGGCCUUGCACACACCGCCCGUCA